rnacentral:rRNA from 1 species
GAUGAACGCUGGCGGCGUGCCUAAUACAUGCAAGUCGAGCGAACGGACGAGAAGCUUGCUUUUCUGAUGUUAGCGGCGGACGGGUGAGUAACACGUGGAUAACCUACCUAUAAGACUGGGAUAACUUCGGGAAACCGGAGCUAAUACCGGAUAAUAUUUUGAACCGCAUGGUUCAAAAGUGAAAGACGGUCUUGCUGUCACUUAUAGAUGGAUCCGCGCUGCAUUAGCUAGUUGGUAAGGUAACGGCUUACCAAGGCAACGAUGCAUAGCCGACCUGAGAGGGUGAUCGGCCACACUGGAACUGAGACACGGUCCAGACUCCUACGGGAGGCGGCAGUAGGGAAUCUUCCGCAAUGGGCGAAAGCCUGACGGAGCAACGCCGCGUGAGUGAUGAAGGUCUUCGGAUCGUAAAACUCUGUUAUUAGGGAAGAACAUAUGUGUAAGUAACUGUGCACAUCUUGACGGUACCUAAUCAGAAAGCCACGGCUAACUACGUG